CAGCGGCAUGGGAUGCGGGACCGCCAGCCUGUGGCGUGGGCCCCGAAGCACCGCGCGGGGAGCUCCGGGGGUCGCAAUCCACGGCCGCGGG
rnacentral:tRNA from 1 species